AUUGAACGCUGGCGGCAGGCCUAACACAUGCAAGUCGAGCGGAUGAAGGAAACUUGCUCCUGGCUUCAGCUGCGGACGGGUGAGUAAUGCCUAGGAAUCUGCCUGGUCGUGGGGGCUAACGUCCGGAAGCGAGCGCUGAUACCGCAUACGUCCUGAGUGAGAACGUGGUGGAUCUUCGGACCUCACGCUAUCAGAUGACCCUAGGUCAUAUUAGCUAGUUGGUAUGGUAACGUCUUACCAAGGCGACGAUGCAUAGCCGACCUGCGAGGCUGAUCGGCCACACUGGAACUGGGACACGUUCCAGCCUCCUACGGGAGGCAGAGGUGGGAAAUCUUCCGCAAUGGGCGAAAGCCUGACGGAGCAACGCCGCGUGAGUGAUGAAGGUCUUCGGAUCGUAAAACUCUGUUAUUAGGGAAGAACAUAUGUGUAAGUAACUGUGCACAUCUUGACGGUACCUAAGCAGAAAGCCACGGCUAACUACGU
rnacentral:rRNA from 1 species